GGUGUGGUGAGUGAAAUGGAGAAGGCUAAACUUUUUCUUCCCACAUGCUCACUUCCUCGCUUGUUCGCUAGCUGCUGCAUCUGGCCCCUCAAGGGUAAAGUCAAGGGGAAAAGGAGAUCGAGAGGAAGGACAGUCUGUGAAUUGGGUCUCACCGUGUUUCCCAGAGUGAAGUACAGUGUUGUGAUAUCAGUUCAUUGCAACUUCUGUCUUCCGAGCUCAAGCAAUCCUCUUGCCUCAGCCUCUCGAGUAGUUGGGACUGACUACAGGCAUGAACCACCACACCUGGCUAAUUUUUUUGUAUUUUGGUCGAAAAGACGGUUUCGCCAUGGUGUACAGAACUACUUCUCAAAUCACUAUUCACAUCCUGGUAGAAGUCAAGCAAUGAAGAUGGCACAGAAACACAUCCCAAAUACUAUGAUACCAUAAAGUAUACUGUAGCAAUGCAUCUGGCACACCCUCAUUUGAACAUCUGUCUCAGAAGAUUUUGACAGAAGAUAAAACUGUCUAGUUUUUA